ACCCUGACUGGAUUAACACCCGAAUUCAGUCCCGCGAGUGGUUCGUGCAAGUGCUGUUUGCGCACCAAAGGCGAUCUACUUCGGGUCUACCUCACCGGGUUGUGGAGAGGAUAUAAACGGGGGCGGGGCGCGGGGGUGGGGAACGCGGACCUCCAGCCCAAGGUGUGCGCGCGUGUCGGCUGCUCAGUCACCCCCUCGGCCCCGGGUGAUGAUGGUGGUGGUGAGGAAGCACGAGGGUGACCGGGGCCCUUGCUGGGGAGGGCUCGGACGCAGAUGCGCGGCGCUUGAGGACCUCGUGGCCUUCGCUGGAAGCCUCCCUGGCCGGCGGCAGCGGCAUCUCGAGCUGAUGUCUCCUUCCGAUAGGCCUGCAGGAGGUGAGCAUGGACCUUCCCCCAUCCAGGCCCCUUGCCGCCCCCCCCCCAGUUGAGUCAUGAACCUGGGACCUUCCUGUCAGUAACACAUGGCUUCAGAUUGCUGAGGCGUUGCAUGAGAGAGGCUGAAAAGCCACGGCUUCUGCUACAGCCAGGAUCCUCUGCUGGCCACCCGCGUGGUCAAACUGUGUGGAAAAGGGCUCUUCACCUAUCCCAACAUCAGGAUGGCCACUGGCACAGCACCCUGAGAAAAGGCCGUGCAUCACCCGAAACAAAGACCGAAAGGGAGCCCCUCUUCACCUGACAGGGCACACGCUGGUUUCUCUCGACAGAUGCAACAUUAGAAAUGCUGAUUUAAACUGAAUUUAGGGUGGUGCUCCUGCCAUGAGGGAUAGUCAUAGGAACCACUUCCAUGACCCACACAGGUGGGGGUUGCCCACAUGCUCUCCACCCUGAAUUAAUUUAGCAUGUAACCCAUGUGGGGGGGGGGGAGAGAAAGAUUCUCUGUAAAGUUCCACAUUGUGCAGGGUGGAAAAGCCAAGGAGCAGAACCAGGAGGCAGAGGACUCUGAAAGGGGGACAGUGGCAUGAACUUGCAGCUAUGGGGUGUCUCUGAGCAGUCCAAAGGUCCCGGAUAGGAAGAGGUGGUCCAAAGACAGGGGGAAUGGCAUGCUUGGCUGCCCCUGAUCUCCUUCUCUUCUGCCCCACAGUGGUGCCCUUUGAGGAAGUCUGGAGCCGGAGCUACUGCCGCUCCCGGGA
rnacentral:lncRNA from 1 species